rnacentral:rRNA from 1 species
UACGUAGGAGGCGAGCGUUGUCCGGAUUUACUGGGCGUAAAGCGCGCGCAGGCGGCACACUAAGUACGAUGUGAAAUCUCCCUGCUCAACGGGGAGGGUGCAUUGUAAACUGGUGAGCUAGAGGACGGUAGAGGGGGGUAGAAUUGCUGGUGUAGCGGUGAAAUGCGUAGAGAUCAGCAGGAAUACCCGUGGCGAAGGCGGCCCCCUGGGCCGAACCUGACGCUGAGGCGCGAAGGCUAGGGGAGCGAACGGG